UCUUACAAAUUGCAGAAGUUGAGGAGGACAGAGAAAUAAUUAAUGUAUUAAAACAAGCAGCGAAUUCCUCAGGAGGCACCUUAUCAACUCCAGCCACACUGGCUUCAUCCCUCCUCGUAUGCUAAUACCCCGUGACGUCAUCGGCGGCAGAUUGAAUGUGAAUCAGUUAUGAAAUUAUUAGUUUUAGCUUAAAAAGCAAUCUGGCUCUCCCGUGAGUGGGCUUUGCGUUGCUGCGGGUUCUCGCUCCGUGUCCUCCCCGUGUUAUGCACACACAGUAGUUGCGACUUUGCUGUCGCAAUGAAUCAAUAUUUCCAAAGCACACGUCCUAACAGGGGGUGAUGUAAAGAAACCCAUAGAUUAAUUGGGUCCCGUUUCUGAGUCGGCUGUGUCUUCCUUAUCGAUACACACUUUACACCCGAAACCAGACAGUCGGAUUUCCUCCUACUUUUCAGGGUAUGUGUGAUCUCCUCCCAUGAGAGGCAACUCAGCAGCUCGGUCCCCUCUGCCAUCUCAGCACUGCCAGUGGAGAAGCCCAGGAGGAGCAGAGCAGUGCCUGAGCAGCAAUUUGAAUAUCCAUAUUUAACUCUUCAAACAACAGAAGACACUUCAGAACCAUGUUAAGAAGGAUAAGCUUGGAGUGCCCAGUCACCGUGGUAACUGCCAGAAAAAUUCUCCUGAAGUUUGAAGAGGUCAGCUAACGGGGUCAACAACUCUGGCCUCUCUCUGAGCUGGGCCUGGCAGGCUCCAUCCUGCGGUUGGGGUGUUAGCGCAGGCUGAGCCCUGGGAGGUGGACCAUUCCAGCUCUGAUAUAAAUUUUUUGAGUCAGUUCACGGCCUGGACUCUCCAGGUGGCCUCCAAAAUCGAUUGUGACCUUGUGACCCUGUCUAACGGAGGCAUAGCAUCCAACCUAAGUAAGGAUUUAGCCAGGAACGACAGCUUUCCACUGAGUGUUAUUGGGGACAGUACAAACAGUUUGGGAAGCAAGGAGGUAGGUAUGAGGAGUAGAGGUCAUUAAAAGCAUAUUAAAAAACAAUUUUAAAAAUCCUUUUUAGUUGAAAGUUUUUAUUUGCAGUAGCCAUUCCUUAAAUAAAUCCUUCUGGUAACUAUUUUUUCCUUCUAUAAUAACUUUGUAUCAAGUGCUUCAGAGCAAUAAUACAUGAAAAAUUGUCACUUUGCAUAUUCCAAACCAAACUAAUAUUUUAUCUACCUCUGGAUUUUGAACUUGUAAAUGAAGCUGACUGGCAUGUGUUAAACUAAAUGUCUAUGAAGUGUUUUUUUUCUUAAUAUCAUACAAACUAGGAGACUGGUUUUUAAAAUGGGCUAUUUAUUUUAGAUAGCAUUUUCCCUAAUAUGUGCAUUCUUUUUAGAUUCAAAAGUCUCCUAAUCCCUGUAAUCUAUUUUUAAACUAGGAAGUUAGGUAACAUUCAGAAUAGUGUGGAAUGAAAAUGUGUGAGUUUCACAGUUUUCCUUUACUGGUUUGCAGUACAAACAGAAAAGCUACAAAACUAAUUAUGUAUUUUUAUUGGAAAAAAACCUGAUCAUGAUAAGAUCAUAUUAAUAGAGAACAUGAUAUUUUUUUUUCCUUUAAGAUUUUAAGCAACAAACUAUGUGAGGAAUGGAGGGGCUGUUGCAGAUUUCUGAUUUUGUUGUUGAAUCUAGAAACUUGCCAUUUGAGCAAGUGGAUUUGCUCUUGUGUUUUAUUCCCACUGCUACAAGACCUCGUGCAUUGCUCACAUGAGUAAUUGGUAAUUGUCAGAUCUAUUGGCCAAGGUCCUGUCUCUUAUAGGGUCAUCAUAAUCUGCUCCAGUGGGAGCAGGUUUGAACACCAGGGGUAAGAAAUGGGGCUGAAUUUUGCCAUAAAAUAAUUUAAGGCCCACACCUGCACAUUCAAAUAUCCAUAGUGACACUAUUUAAUUCUACCCUGAAUACUAAUAAUAGUUUGGUUUUGGUGGUCAUUUUUAACAGAGCUCUGCUGAAAAGAAUUUAUUCCCAUUAGGAAGCAUGUUGAUUCAGGGGAGUGGCUUGGGAGUUGAGCUUGGGGGGAUGAAAUUCACAGCCCUCAGUGAGAAUCAGAAUAUUAGCUUGUUUUUCAGGAAAAAAAAAUUAAAAUAGGACUGUAAAUAGCUGGAUGGUGAAUCUUCAAUAUUUUUAAAACCAUCUGGGUAAUUUUUUAUAUUUUUAAAAAUAUAUACUCAUAUCUGCUUUGUAUUGUCAACACUCAGGGACCAAGUUCUACCUGACAAACAGGGGAUCAUUUCUGAAAACAGAUAGAACUAUUCCACUGGAACUUUUGGACCAGAAAUGCCCCAAAUUUUCCCUAAAGCCUCCAGCUUGGAAUGAGGAAUUGUUGGCAGAGGCAACAAGGAGAUCUCAAGAGCUUUAACUUGCUGCAAAUUCUUUAGUGUUGACUUCUGUAGAUCUUAUGGAAUUUAUAAUCAGCUGCAAAUCUACAAAUGUCACUCAGAGUAGAUCCUGGUCUUGCAUGUUUUGUACCUCUUCACGUUGUUCAGUUCAUCCACAUCCAAGGAUUUGGAGUGCCUAGAGGUGCCUGUGUUAGCAGUAGCUGCAGUGGACAGUUCUUCCCCAUCAAUGCAGUGAAGCACUCACUCACAUUUGACUGCUUGGAAAACUCCCUGAAGUGCAGGCUCUUUGAGUUUCACCAGAGGGAUGUAUGUGAAUGAGCUUAGUGCUGUGUUAGAGAUAAACCAGCAGAAUCACCAAAGUCUGUGGUGGCUCCCAGCCCCUGCCCUAUGCACCACUGAUAACCCAUGAAGCCUUUCACUGCAGCUGGUCUGGGGAAUUGUAUUAAAUAGUAAUGUCCAUAGUCCUCAAUUACAAUUCUUUAUUAGAUGAGUAUGUGGCAGUCUGCAUGAAAAUCUGAGGUCUGAGGGUAGUCUGCUACCUGAAAGCUCAGAGGAUGUUUCCUGUACAGGAAUAUGUCUCAGGUCAUGGGCCAUGAGGUGUUGGGAGGUGUUUUGUUAAUGUUUUCAAAUUAAACACAUGCCCAGUUAAAUGAAUGUAUUUUAUUACUCAUACAAACAAACAAAACAACAACAACAACAAAAGAACUUCAAAAUAAGAUAAAUAAAAUAAAAGUGCUAAAUGGACGCUGAAGCCUCAGCCUAGUUCAUGUCUGCUUGUGUGCAAAGCCUGCAUUCCCAGUGUCUGCAGGGCCAAAGAAGCUCAGCUUUAGAGAGCAGCACGUUGCCGUGGCCUGGAUCAGGGCUGCCAAAGGUCUCUGGGUUCUGGAGGAAGCAGGGAGGGCAAAUGAGCACUGGGACCCACAGGUGUGCUGGCAAAAGGUCCUAAACAAGUGCUGCGCUUCCGUCUGCUUUUACUCCUUCCUCUCUGCCUUGAGAGUGUGUGGCUGGUGUCCAGAGGAAAAGUCAAACUAAUUCUGAUGCCUUUUCCUAUUCUGGGUGGACUAAUUCAGAGAAAGCACUUAUGGCUGCCUUUGUGGAAGGGUUACAGUAUAGGUUCAUACUUUAGGAACUGUAGGAAGUUCUUAAUCCUUCCCUGCCUAUGGGGCUGUCAUUUAUAGACUCGCUAUUGUCUCAUCUUUUAUAAAGAUGUUUCCUUACAUUAAGGUUGGAAGAGCAGCCAGACUUUGCCAUUGUUCACAGCUAUUUCUGUUUGUGGCUUAAUGCACAUCUAGUAUUCUGUUUAUGCUUUCACUGCUCUCCUACGCAGCAGACUGUACCUACACACCAGCUUAGGUGACAUCACUCUCAAAGCAUUCAUUUCUGUGUUUCUUUUUUUUCCCCUCCUGAUUUGUCUGUGCAUCUUGAUUUUGCAUUAGCCUAGUUUAUUAUAAGUAACCUGAUAAAAUACAUUGGAACUUUAUGCAUUUAGUUGUCAUUUCAUCUUCAUUUCUUGUUUGAUAAACUUGCUUAUAAAAAAAAGCUUUUAGGUUUUUGUUUUUUUUUAAUAACAGCAAAACCCCUCUUACAAUGUAAGAGGAAUGAAUUCAGCCAUGAGCAGAAAAAAAUUGAAGCAUAGAUCAUUUUGAAUGUGUAAAAUUUAGCUUGGUGUUAAUGGUGGUUUAAUUACUGAAUUUUUUUUUUGUUAUGGCUAUUCAUAAAGACAUCCAUUGUUUUCUGGUUUGAUUUAUGUCCAGAUUAGCCCCCUUCAGAACCUCAUUUCUGGCAAUCUCAGCAACAUGUGAGGGCCUGGCAGCUUGUGCAGACAUUGCCAUCUUCCCUCACUGCUCCUUCUCCUGAGCUGUUCCACCAGCUCCACAGUCUGCCAUUCCUCAGGAGCCCUUAAUGAUACCUCUUCUCCAUCAUCUGUUCCAUGGCCCUUCCAGAACCAGGUGCUUUUGUUGAAGUUUUCAAACCAAUUUAGAAAUAGAUACUGAAAUAAGGGCAGGUGAUGCGGUGGUGACAUUGUGUCACUGCCUUCCUGUCCUGCAUGGGAAGAUAACAGACCUCCAGAGCUCAGCUCUAUGGCCAUACAAUGAGAAUGAUAAAAACAACAUCUUUGCAAACCACUUAUAUGUCUGAAAAAUUUGAUGCAAAUUAAAAGCUACCUAGGUUGUGUCAAACCUAACUCUACCCAGCACUUCACCUUCUCCGCCGCCCUCUCAGCUGCUUGAGACUUGCCAAUAAGCCUUUCAGAGUCACUGCUUUUGCAUGGUGUCUUGCAAAAUGUGACAUUUGGGCUUUUAAACUGCCCUUGUGUCAUAACAUACAUAGCAACACUAAUAUAUCCUUUUUCCACAUGCAUCCUCACUUUGCUGGAAAAAAAAAAUCUCAAUUCUGAACAAACUACAAACAGCUUGCUGAUGCAGGGUGAGGAGUGCCCGGCAACCUUUGUGUGCUCAAGGCACAGCUUUAUCCCGGCCAUCAGUGGGACAGUGCACAUGGGAACGUGUGAUCUAUUCCUUCCUGAGCCCCAGUGAUGCCUUGCUUUGCAGUUCCUCUCGCUGGUUCUCAUAAUCCUGGCAAGAUGCUACAAACCCCACGUGACAAAGAUCACAGGGAAAUACUUGAAGAAACCUCUGCCAUUAGCUGUGCUGUAAGAUUUAUAAAAGGUUCAAUUUCAUAAAAUGCAAAUUCUGGACUAAUUGUUCCUCUGCAAGCCUUAAUGGUCUCUGAGCUGCAUAGUUAAUCUACUACCUGCCUCUACUCACGUAUCCAGCAGAAUUUAGAGCGGGGUAAAACACGCCUUCACACAUCAGUUACAUCUAUUUUAACUUUUCUUUUGACAAGUUCUGCUGAUUGUGUCCAGACAAAUGGAUUUGGACUUGCACACUCUUAAAGCUGCACCACAUCCCCCGUGGGGACACCCACCCACAAAAACGUUUCCAUGGGUUCACCUCCCAUGCGUGGGUGUGCUCCAGAUACUGCCAUGGUUGAGGGGCAGGAAUGGGUGGAUGCAAUUCCUGGGUCUUCUUUUGUUUCCCCUUGAAGAGAGGUGGCUACAGGGAGCUGUCUGCUCUCUGCAGGGACACAGGUUAUCCACAGCUCCUCAGAGCUGUAGAGGCCAAAAACAUGAAUGCACUGCAGCAUUGUUGUGCCUGCACACACACCAUGUACCCCUGCAGCUGCAGUGUCCUGCAGCCACCUCUGGAUACCAGGAGCUCACUGUGAUCAACCCUCUGGCCUUCCAACACGGGUGAAGACAACACUGAGGUAGCAGGUCAGAUACUCAUAUCAGAAAACCAGGUACUUGCUGCAGUGUUUCUCUAGUGUGACAAAUCAGAGACCCUGGGUCUUUAGUCAGACCAGGCACAGGUCAGGGACUGAAAUAUUUGUCCCACACCUACCUCAGCAAAGUUGUGGUUGUUGACUUGAGUGACAAGGGAAUUGAGAGGACUGGGAUGUCUCAGCCCAAAGUCCCUUAAGCCUUGGCUUGAUGGGUGAGAUCUUGAACACAGCCAGAGCCAAUGACAUUAAAGGCUUUAUAAAAGCAACAGUGCCAGUUUAAAAUCAACCUCCCACAUUACCAGCAGCCUCAGCAGGUGUAACGUGAUCCAGGUAGCCCAAGCCAGUGAGUAAACAAACUGCUGCUUUCUGAAUGAGCUGCACCAGAGAAAUGCUUCUAACUGGGAAUUACAGUGGCUAUUUGCACUCAAUGAGUUGUGCAAAUGAACAGGCUCCUAUGAUUCUAAUUCUUAUUCCACGCAGGUUUUUCUCUCUACACCCAAAAUGAAGUAGGGAAAAAGUUGUAGGGAAAAAAUUCCCUGAUAAGCCUGGAAAGUUUAGUGGGAUUGGGCCUGAUCUAGCUGCUUGAACUUCAGUGGGGUCUGUUGCUGGGUUUCCCUAAGUUAGAGAAAACAAUCCUGCUGCUUCCAAACUGCCAAGUCAGUCAGAGGAAUUUAAUAUUGUCCCUAAAGAACUGCUCUGCUGCUCUUCUGCUGGGUUCCCAGUUCCAUUUCCAGUAAGCAGUAUUAACUUAGGGGCUUUUUACUUGGCUACAACAUUGCCCAUUUUUUUCUCCUUCAGCUCCAGCUCUUAAACCUUCAUAGAGCCUUGCUGUGUAGGCCAGCUGAGCAGAGGCUGAAUGCACCAUUUUAGAUCCUUUCGGUGUUACUGCCUGGCUCCCCAACUGGAGAAGUGCACAAAAGCAUAGGAGGUGGAUCUGUCCAAGUAGAGCCUGGACUGUGACAAGUCUCAUGGGCUUGGCAGGGUCUAAGACUCACUGUGGAGUCCUUGGAAUGUGCAGACUGAGGGUACACCACACUGAGGAUCCAGCAGCCCAGCUCUGCUCCAGCGUUUCUGCCUCCCAGUCUGGGUCCCAUCCUGCCCCAGAGAGCCUCUCCCCCCUCCCCUGCCCACGCUCCACUUAUUCAUGAGUUAUGAUAACAUAUAAGCAGCUUAGAGAAUUCUUAUCAGAAUAAGUUGAACACAAUGCAACAUUUAACUCUUAAUGACAGCCACCUCUGACUGUGAGUGACAUGUUAUAAAUUAUGUUUGAACUGGAUUUUUUUUUCUUCAGAGGCAGAUAUUCCCUCUGCCACCCAGUCAGCCCUGUAACGUUGCACUUGUGGCCUUAAUCCCACUUGGAUGUGUGCCCUGCUGCCUCCACUUUCCGUCACUUGGGUACUUUAGUAUUCUUGAACAAGUGAACAAUCUUUGUUUCUGUACCUUAUUAGGCCAAAGACCAUAGCAGCGAGUGAUGGCAUCAGCAGGCCCUGCAGGCAGGAUUCUCUGCAGACACAGCCAACCUCCAACAAACCCCUUUUUAUCCUCCUGUUUCUAGGAAGAAUUAUGAUGGUGGUGCCCUGCUGUUGAUCAGUCAAAUCUGUGGUAGGCCUAGAGAUAAGUCCUGUAAGUGUGGUGUACUGUAAAACAGCGGCUCCCAUUCAUUAGUAGCUUGUGUGUAAUAAACCACCCAAAGGAGGGGGGUGGGGAGGGAGAGGGACGAGCAGCUGCAGUGUGCAGGAACAAACAACACAACUCAUUCUUGGGAGCCAAAACUUUCUAAUUUGCUGCUGGGCUGCUGGGAGCACUCAAAUUCUUUCUGAUAAUACGCUCGUGCCCUCAGUGUCUCUCCUGGUGUUUCCCAAGUCCUGCUCUCUCGAGGUCCCUGAGUCUGGGAUAGUUUCACUUUGAACCCAAAACACAGAGGGGAGCUGAGUGGGGAGGAGGGGAACACAUCAGUGCCCAGUGUUUGCAGACUCUGACAUAAGAAAUCCUGGACUCCCAAUGGUUCUGCUGGGAAUGGCUGGUGCAUGGAUCUGCUCCUGCAGCGAGUAAACAAAGCAUCACAUGGGCUGAGAGCAAGCAGGAGACAGGGAGCAAACCCAGGGCUAUCUGGGCAUGCAUGAGGACAGAGUGUCUCAGAUGUGUUACUGACUUACAGCCCACUGGAAUAUUUAGGAACCUCUGUCUCCCAAGAGGUAAAAACCUCAAACAAACCUCAAACGAGUAAUAGCUGAAAAAUUAUUUGGCUUAAUCUGUUCCAGUUUUUUUCACAAGUUCUGGUAAAUCUUUAUAGCUUGAAGGCAGGUGAAUUUAAAUGCCGUCUGCUAAAUAUAAUGUAAGAUGUUGCAUGUGUUGAGACACAAGUAGUUCCUAAUAUUUGCAUAGCUGUGAAUACAUUGGUGCUUUUGGAUCUCAGCCUUGGACCUUCCAACUGCCUGUGGAAUAUUUCAGACCAGGAUGUGAAAUUAUUGAGUGUUGCACAACUGCUCUCAUAGACCAGGCCUUUGUGCUGCUGUUUGUAUUAUCACAGGAAAAUGAAAUUAUUUUCAGAUAGCUGCUGCUCUGGAGGAGUGCUGUACCCUCACAGAAGAUGACAGUGGCUGCUUUUUCCAGGGAUGUACCAGGCUGUGAUGGUGCUUGGACAGUCUCCUAACAUUUGUAUAGACAAGGGUUACUUUAAUGGCAAAUUCGGGCUUGGGCCAAAAUGCAAGCACUCUUUAUGGAGACAAGGCAAAAUUGCAGAUUUGAGGUUUUCCACACUGCUGGAGGAGAUCCAUCUCCCUCCUCUCUAGGAGGAGCUGUGCUGUGAGUUUUAAGCUCUGAAAUGAGAGGGGCUUCUGCCUGACUGCUGCUUGGUAAAGUUACCCAGUGGGCUGAGAUGAAAACACCCUGAAGAGCAUGUUAAAUAAACCUGGGCACAAAAUGUUUUUGUUUUUUUUUAAUCUUCUGAAAGUUCAGGUAGUACAGCUUAGGUAGUUCUGAUUGUGGCAUUUUGAACAGAGUCAAAAUAUCUUGACAUUUUGGUUUUCCUUCCCCAGACUUAGGUAAGUAGGUAAGUUGAUAGCUUUAAAACCAAAAUUGGCUGCUCACUGCCCAUUCCCAGCAUAGAGCCUGACUACUCUAUGCUGUUUCCAGGAUUUUCAACUAGAACUGCAACAAGGAGCAUUUUAUGGGAAUCUCUCCAUGACUUUUCAAAGCAAAUUGCAAAGGCAACACCUCUGGUAAUUGCUGCACUGUGUAAGUAGAGGAGAGACCCAUCAAUUGGAAAACUCCAGCGCUGGUCAGACUGCCCUGCUCCCAGACAGCUGGCAGCACACAGCAGGUACCUACCUGUGGUCCUGCUGUCAGCAGGUUUGAAGUUAUAGAUGAGACCAGCAAACUGAGUGAAUGUUCUGGGUAGCUAUGAAACCGAGGGGUGGAGGGUUUUGUUUCAGAGGGUUUCAGCCCCAUCUCCAGCACAAGCAAAGCCAUGUAAUCCUUUCUUUUGCAAUUAGAGCUGAAAAAUAGCCCCGGGCCAGAGCACUUGCACAAGGAGCAAUUAGACAAGCUAGACACUGGGAAAAGCUAAAAAUAGCAGAUAAUCUGCCUCCACAAAAAUACCUUGAAUCAUUAGAAAAGGACAUUUUAUGAAUUUCCUGGGAAUCAUUUAGUACUUUAAUAUGUUCACAGUGUUCUGCCUGAAGGGGCUAUAUUCCAACUGCUGCUUGGCAGAGGAGACAAUUCAAGAGGAAAAAAGCUAUAAUAUGAAACAGCAAAUUGUGAGCAUCUGUGCACACAGCCCUGUGUGUCCUGGUACCACUGCUGGCACACACUCUCGGAGAACUUUCAGUGACGGGUGACAGCUUUGGGUUCCUGUCCCUCUGUUUCUGUGUGGGGCCUCCUGUUUACUCCCAGAGCUGCUCGUCCCCAUCCCAGCGGAACGCGCUGCAGCACUGCCAGCACCCCACCAGCCUCAUGGCAGGGCUGUGAUACCGGAAUCCCAGGAGCUCUUUCCCCACUGCUCUUGGAGCAGCAGCGAUUUUGGUGGCGAAGGGGCUGUGUGGGGUCUCGGGGCGCAGGAGGCACCGCUGGCGCUGGAGCUCCUGCGGGAGCUGGGCCCCCGAGGGGUCUGUGCAGGAGCUCAUCCAUGUCUGUGCUCUGCAUCCAAACUGGGGCUGUUUGCUCACCCAGCUGCUGCCGUGGGGUGACUGGGGCUGGGGAGGGCAGCUCUGGGGCUGGAAUUGCCGGGAUCCAGCCCAUCCCUUCGGCAUCCCCCGGCCUGAGUGAAACCGCAUAAAGUUUCUCCUAAAUCUGAAUUUAAAACGCUUUCAAAUUGACAACCUCCUUUUAAAUAAAAACAUUUAUGUUAAGCAAAAGGGAUGUUUGCUUUUACAAAUAAAUGGAAUUAUGGUUCUAAGAUCUGACUUAAUCCUGAAGUUCUUAGACUGCACAGUAAGUAGAAAAGAAAGAGGAUUGCUUGGAGGAGCAGGAGUUAGCAGGAUCAGGCUCCAUGUUACCUCUUCUUGCUUAUUUUCCUUCUGGCAUUUAAUAUACCUUUCUCAGAACUACCAAUGGCUAUUUAUAACAAAGACAAAAUAACUUCACAUCUAUUACCUAAUUGAAAAUAACAAGGGAUGGUACAGAGCGUGCCCAUCCAGUUUUCCUGCUGGAAAAAAUGUGAGGAUUCCUAAACAAACAAAAACUGCUCUACCUCCAAAUGUAUUCUUAUGCUAAAGUCAUGUCCUUUUGAAAUUAAUUUCAGGACUUUUCUCAAAUGUAUUGUAAUUCUUUGUUCUUUUUCUACACAGUUUUCUUUGUGAAAAUGUAUUUAAAAAUCUGCAUUGAGGUUUCAAAGGGUCUGAAGGAAGACAUUUACAGAGUAAUAAUACCAUUUGUAUUUGUUAUAUUUCUGAAAAUGGAAUUGCUGAUCAGACAACAUUAAAAUACUUUUGUAUUAUUUUUUUGUGUGGCUUCAUGACAUUUGUAUAUUUCCAGCUGUGAUUUUGGUACCUGUGUAGCCAGGUUAACAAGGAAAGUAGGAUCAUAAAUUUUAUUAUUACUCCAUCCAAGUCAAUCUGUUUUAUAACCCCACCUCUGGUCUCAGUACUCUCUGAAUUCAGGGAUUUGGUUUGAAGUACCUGUAUUCCAGCAGGAGAUUUCAUAUUCAGGACAGCUGAAGCUGAAAGAAGCCUGGGCAAGAAGAGAGAUUUGUUUAGUAGAUGCAUUCAAAUGAGUCUCUUCCAAAGAGUAAAAUGAAGAUUGAAUGAAAUUUAUAGUGGCAAUGUCUCUUUUGGGGACUGCAGAAAAACGCCUACACAGAAUUGGACCUGCAAUUCCCCGUCCCCUCAUCCCUCCCAGCACCUUCCUAUGGUUCCCUCUUUCCCACAGAACAAGGGAAUGGCUUUCUGCCAGGUCAGCUGGGGGACCUGGCUGGGGCUGCCACCUGCUGCAGCCC